AUUGAACGCUGGCGGCAGGCCUAACACAUGCAAGUCGAACGAGUGGCGGACGGGUGAGUAAUGUCUGGGAAACUGCCCGAUGGAGGGGGAUAACUACUGGCAACGGUAGCUAAUACCGCAUACCAUCGGAUGUGCCCAGAUGGGAUUAGCUAGUAGGUGGGGUAACGGCUCACCUAGGCGACGAUCCCUAGCUGGUCUGAGAGGAUGACCAGCCACGCUGGAACUGAGACACGGUGCAGACUCCUACGGCAGUCAGCAGUGGGGAAUAUUGCUCAAUGGGGGCAUGCCUGAUGCAGCCAUGCCGCGUGUAUGGAGAAGGCCUUUGGGUGGUAAAGUGCUUACAGCGAGGAGGGGUUGCUCGCGGAAGAAGCACCGGCUAGCGCCGUGCCAGCAGCCGCGGUAACUC
rnacentral:rRNA from 1 species